AUCGAAGACGACCAGUGGCGAGACUAAAGAUUCCAAUUUCCUUGCGAUUUCUCCUUCGCUCGCCUCACCAUGUAUAUAAGAGAGCGGAGGGCGCCUUGCGACUCCGCUAUUUCCAUCUCUUCGGUGUGCAAGCUACAAUGGCGUCCAGCAAGCGGCCACUGUCGGAGGGCGGCGACAUCGGAGAGGGUUCGGGGAGACUGAAGCGAUCCCGGUCCUUAUUCUCAGGCAGAGAUGCCAAUUGGCCGCGGAUCAGCCUCCCUGUUUUGACGCGAGAGGAUUUGCUUCCUCACAGAGCGAUGCAAGAAGUAAGGCCCCUACUCACUGAUUCUGCACCUCCAGUUCCCAGAUAUCAGCUGCGGUUCCAGAAUUGCUUGCCACCCUGUGUUUACACAUGCCACGAAAUAAUGGCAAAGGAUAAGGAUCCUCUUCAGAUUUCACUGGUGGAUACUGCCACAGGGGACUGUGUUGCUUCUGGUCCCCUGUCUUCAGAGAAUAUAAUGGUUCUGGUUCUCGAUGGUCAUUUUUGUGGUACUAAACAAAGAGACAAGAAAGAGUUCGAGAAUCAUAUUGUCCAUCAAAGAGUUGAUAAAGGGCCACUGCUUAAGGGCAAGCUGGUAAUUCAGCUGACAAGUGGUGUUGGGUAUCUUCAGGAUAUCAGUUUUACAGAUAACUCCUCUCGGAGACCAAGCAAGAAGUUUAGGCUAGCUGUUUGUUGUGAAACUGAAGGAAUUCAAGAAGGAAUAAGCAAUCCGUUCCGGGUAAAAGAGCAUCGUAGUUAUCUGAAUGAGAAGCAUCAUCCUCCAAAAUUAACUGAUCAAGUCUGGAACCUUGUAAACAUUCGGAAAGAUGGUGUAUAUCACCGAAGACUAACAGCUGCUGGAAUCCUUAAUGUGCAACAAUUUUUACAAGCUCUUUCUGUUGAUCCUGAGAAUCUGCGCAGGUUACUUCAGAAUGGCAGCUUACCCAAGAGAAGAAUUCCAGACAAGGAAUGGGAAGCAAUUAUUAUAAAUGCUCAGGAAUGUUUUCCAGGCGAUCAGCUUUAUUCUUAUGAUGUUGGGCAGGAUAGCACUCUCAUUUUCAACUCUGUAUAUCUGCUCCUUGGAGCAAAAGUUAAUGGCUGGUAUCAUGAUAUCAAGAACCUCAAUGCAACUGACAAGGCUUUUCUAGAGAAGUUGCAAAGACAAGCAUUUGAGUAUCAAGCGAGCAUUAAGUUAGAUGAUAUGUGUAUUCAAGAAUUUAGUGACUUGGUCACAGCAUCAAUCUCACUAAGCGUGCCAUGCCCACAAUGUUCAGUUGAAGCAUCUAGGCAAGUGAAGUUAUUUGAGUCUUUUGCACCACCAUACAGCCAGCUUGGACAUACUAAUCAGGAGGAUACAUCAGAACAAUUUCAUCCUCUUACAAUACCACCAACCCACGCUGCAUUUCCAGGACAAAACUUAGAGGAACUAGGAAGUUCAUGCUUUUCAGAUUAUGUUCAGCCAGAAGUCGAUAGCAGCAUGCCAGAUAUUUACAUACCAGAUACUUGCAACUUUCAAGAUGUGUUUCAGCUCGAAGAUUUGAUGGAUAACCAGGUAGGUGCUACUUUUACACUGUUAUUUAUGCCUCUAUGCAUCUACUUUCUCUAACCAUUUGGCCUAUAUUACUUGGGUAGGAAACCAGAUUAUGGGCAUAUGUUUCUUUUUUUUCCUCCAAAAAAUGAGGACAAUGGGAACUUGGUAGAAAGGGACCCAAAUUUGGGACACAAGUAUUUGGAUCUACUUCUACCUAUCACCCAAGACUCAAACUCAGACCCAAUAAUCCCUUGCUUGAAUCCAGUGUUGCGAUUAAUUUCCCUAAGCAACCAAGGGUUUGGUUUGGGACUGCUCUAGUGUCGCAAACCCCUAAUAAUAAGAUAUUAAAAUUAGGGCCUCACAAGUCUCCUCCUUCCUCCUCCCUCCUCCCUCCUCCCUCCUAUGCUGCUUGUUUCUACCUCUACAUGAGAAAGUGGAGCAGUUGCUUACUCUGGCUUGUUAACUUAUGUUUCAUACCCAUUUACAUGUCACGAAUAUGGGAAGGGGGAAAUGUCUAGUCUGAGUUUCAUUGCAUUCAAUUGGAUAGUAAUGCAGAAGUGAAUUUCUAUGGACUAUCAUCAAUUUCUAAUUUAGCGAGGCUACUUUUUCUUUGCUGCAUGCUCUAUUGCUAAAAUCUAACAGAAUAUAUCGUUGGUCUUCAAUAUCAAAUGUGGUUUAUAUAUAUUGGCUCAAGGUUGAUAUGAUAAACACACAUGUACAAACAAGAAAUUGUGAUGGAAAGAUCUACCUGAAGUGUGAUUUUUCCCAUGGUUGUAGCCGUCUAGGUCAUUGGUCUAGAUUUCAUUUCGAUUAGACAAAACUGAGCUGCAUCCUGAUGAAGUUUACCAAGGAAAAUGGGAAUAGGACCUCAUUGUGGUUAAACAGUUCGAGAAAAGGUCUGAAAUCAACAAUCACCCUGGUUUCUUC